GGGGAAUAUUGCGCAAUGGGCGAAAGCCUGACGCAGCGACGCCGCGUGAGGGAUGAAGGUUUCCGGAUCGUAAACCUCUGUCAGAAGGGAAGAAACUACGCUGUGCUAAUCAGCAGUGUACUGACGGUACCUUCAAAGGAAGCACCGGCUAACUCCGUGCCAACAGCCGCGGUAAUACGGAGGGUGCAAGCGUUAAUCGGAAUUACUGGGCGUAAAGCGCACGUAGGCUGUAGUGUAAGUCAGGGGUGAAAUCCCACGGCUCAACCGUGGAACUGCCUUUGAUACUGCACAACUUGAAUCCGGGAGAGGGUGGCGGAAUUCCAGGUGUAGGAGUGAAAUCCGUAGAUAUCUGGAGGAACAUCAGUGGCGAAGGCGGCCACCUGGACCGGUAUUGACGCUGAGGGGCGAAAGCGUGGGGAGCAAAC
rnacentral:rRNA from 1 species